UUUAUGGCAAUAAAUGUGGAAGAGCUCAAUGCUGAGAAGGUCAAAUUGAGGGUUAAAAGAGUAUUGGAAAUAGUAUCAAGAAAAGGUGCUAAGCGGUGCUGGAAUCACUCUUUUCGUACCGGUGGGUGAUGCCUCAGUUACGCAGACCGUCUUUGAUCAGAACCCUGUUGCCAUUUUUGGGGUUUCCGAGGUUUUCUUGCCGAGGGAGAUCUUUGGCAGGAAUCCGAUAGCCACUGCGAAGCCUCUUGAAGAGUAGCUAAUUUCGUUUGGUACAGGAGAUUGUGCUGGUUGCUUCUUACUGUUAUCUUACACCUAGAUGACCGUCAGGUAGUUCUUUCUUUUUAAACUAUAAUUGAGGAUUACAUGUUCAGUAGCCUUGACCUGCAAUCUAAGUGCAAAUAAUACAAAAUAACAUCAUACAGUGGAAGUUACAUCAUAUUAUUUGUAAAAAGAGAAAUAGUUAAUUUGAUGUCAACAGUUUUGUAAUUGUUGGAUAUUAUCUGCCGAAUGCAUUGCAUUGAUUUGUAGCUUUUCAGAGUUUAGGGAAUUUCUUGCUGUAGCUUUGNGUUAUAUAGUAUGANCUGUGCUUAGCAUUUGCUAGUGCUCUGUUUACACUAUACAGGAAUGACUUUUCUUGUUUUUACAACUUAAUGGUUAAUCGUAAUCUGUUUUAAAAUACAUAAUUGCAAAAACUCAGUUUCAAGUAGAUUGGUCAAUUGUGUAUUAGAUGCUUGAAUAGAAUUGACAUGUUAUGGCACUCGAAACUGAUCACAUUUAUACUAUGCUGCUAGUUUGAUCUGUUGUCGUUGAACGCAUUACAUGUUCUUCUUGAUCACUGAUUCAAUGUUCUGAUUGAAUUAAUUUAUGGUCUUCAUUGUUUGCUAUUUUGCAAGUACUGUAGAACCGGGGCUAAUAAACUGGUCUGAGUUAAGACCAUAGAAUAUGAAGCUUAUAGAGUUGUGCUGCAAGCUUGUUGCUAGUAAAGAUCUAAGAUUGCUAGAUUCAUACUUGUUAGAGUCUUAAUAUGCAUGAAGUUACCCUUGUACUUAUUUAGAUCUCGAGAGCCAGCGUGGAUGAUAUAGUCCUGGUGGUGUAAGUUUGGUUUUGAAAGGAUCUAUGGCAAUAACGCUUAUUCAUUAAAAGUGGAAGAGCUCAAUGCUGAGAAGGUCAAACUGAGGGUUAAAAGAGCAUUGGAAAUAGUAUCAAAAGAAAAGGUGGUAACAAAUGAUCCAGUAGUAAAUAUCUCAUUAAGAAUUUGUGAUGUGAUACAACAGAAAAAGAAAAAAAAGGUGAAGUCAUGAAGAUUUGAGGUUAGAGUGGUUGGGUGAACAAACAGGGAAAUAUUACAAUGUUUAAAGAAGAAGAAAACCCCAUUGAAAGAAAGUGAACAGGUGAAUUCUUGGCACUCGCUGGAGGAAGUUUGAGUGGGAAGGAAAUAGUUGCUGCUGGACUGGCAACUCAUUUUGUCCUUUCUGAUGUUUGAUUAUCUUUAGUCUCUGUAAUCUAUGACUUUCUCUUUUCAUAAAGUUUCAUCCAAAAAGGAAAAAUUCAAUCAAAUGAAUUUCAAUUAUAACAAAUAUGCUUAUCAGUUUAAAAAGAAAACCUCAUCUUGUUUUAGGCCUAUGGUAAGCAGCUCUAAUAGAUUUGUUUACAUUUUCGGUUUUCUGCUCUCAGGACAUUGAUCCAUUGAAAUAAUGUCUUGUCAAAUUUGUAUGAAAAAGGAGAAAAAUUAGUAAAAGAAGCUCUAAAAGAUAGUACUUGUUUAUGAUGUUUUUCUGUUUGUAGAUAGAAUCAAUUCUCCAAGUUGUAGUAUCAGCUGCACUUUUUCAAUUUGCAAGAAGCUUUUAUUUG